rnacentral:lncRNA from 1 species
AAAGUAAACAAGAGAGCGGGAGGUACCAACUCCCGGUGGAAAAACCUGAAAGUGUGCUUUGACGCGCCCAAGUUUUCCUGAAGCUUAGCAGAACGUGCAGCUCUAUUGCGUUCUGCCGCGAGUCUGAACGAGAGUUGCCGGAGAUCCUCACCGGUGAAAUAGACACCUGUCCAAGAAAACAGAACACACCCACAAAAGCAGAGGGGAGACUAAAAAGGAAAAGUGCAGGGGUUGCCAGAAAAAUUUCCGGCGGAAACAAAAGUUCCAGACCUCUGAACAGCACCGAGAUCUGCUGUGGGUAAGCAGUGAGA